rnacentral:rRNA from 1 species
CCUACGGGUGGCUGCAGUGGGGAAUAUUGCACAAUGGGGGAAACCCUGAUGCAGCGACGCCGCGUGAGUGAGGACGUAUUUCGGUAUGUAAAGCUCUAUCUGUAGGGAAGAAAAUGACGGUACCUGACUAAGAAGCCCCGGCUAACUACGUGCCAGCAGCCGCGGUAAUACGGAGGGGGCAAGCGUUAUCCGGAUUUACCGGGUGUAAAGGGAGCGUAGACGGAAUAGCAAGUCUGUUGUGAAAACGCGGGGCUCAACUCCAGGAGUGAAUUGGAAACUGUUGAUCUUGAGUGUCGGAGAGGCAAGCGGAAUUCCUAGUGUAGCGGUGAAAUGCGUAGAUAUUAGGAAGAACACCAGUGGCGAAGGCGGCUUACUAAACGGUGACUGACGUUGAGGCUCGAAAGCGUGGGGAGCAAACAGGAUUAGAUACCCGAGUAGUC